CGGUCGUAAAUGAAAAUGUUAAGCGUGGACGUCCAUCGAUCAUUCGAUUGAGGUUAGGAUCGCACAUGUUGCAUAUACCAAGUUUUACGAACCGGGAUCAAUGUCGAAACAACUUAUGAAUCAAAAUCCCGAACUCUUUUAGUAUUUACAUAAUCGUAAUCCUCGAGAUAACGAUUUUGUUGUAGAAAUAUUCUAAGAAAUACGAUGUAGUCGUUAACAGGCGAGUGCCUAAACGUUGAUCGCGGAUGUUAUUUCUCUCGAAAACUAGCUGCCGAUGUAGGUCAGUUUACCUUCCAACUAAAUGAUUAACAUGACGGAAUUGUAGGUUACGAGGGUGCAAAGUUAGGUUAGGUUCAAGUUCGUUCAAUUCAAUUUCAUGAAAAUUCUAGCGUGCAAGUUGGCCAAACGCUCGGUCAAAACGAUUCAACGUGAAAUACUAACGAAGCUUCGAUGUACAGAGCAGUUCUCUGUUAACCUCAAAAAAUAUAGGUUAACCGUAGCUACGUCGGCCAUGUUCGUGUAUCAUUUCGGACAGAGGAGCCAGACAUGGUCGUGCAUUUGGAUAAGGAUUCAUACUUCUGAUAAAAAACAAUCUAUAGGGAAAUAUUCUGUCGAAAUUGAAAAUUAAAUACCUUUCACUUACUUGUCACGCAUAAUACACAGUCUGGUCGGGUACGUUCCUGAAACGGUCUCUACAAGCGCGUCCAAGCGGUUUUCUCAGCAGCUACGAUUACGACAAUUUCGAACGUGCGAAUUCUGUCGCCACUGAGAAGAAAACAGCGGAUGCUGAGAUGGUCGGAUAAAGGGUUGUCGAAGGAAGGGCCACGCAAAUUUCUUCAUUGGAAGUUCCCGUGGCGGCCUGUUAUUACAGAAAUUUACUGGCUCUCCGUAAACGCGUUAUCGACGGCCAGCGAUCUGCAAUUAGGUGGGAAUUUGCAUGAGAGAAGCAGCUGGCUGCGAGAGAUGUAUCGUGAUCGAAUGCGCACGCACGUUCGCGUUUUCGUUCAAGAAUUCGCCUAGUGUCUUCGGGACGAGACGCGGCGAUCCUACUACGACAGGCGAAUAAUACUUGUCGCUUGCGCGCCGCGAGAAUUUUUAUCUCUGAUUUUGUCGUCGUCACGCACUCUGUGUCCGGUUGUUGUUGUUGUUCCAGAGGUGCGGCGAGAACGCCGCCGGAAACACGGAUCCCUGUGGGCGUCGAUAAGCCGUGUCUCACGUGCAACACACGGCCCCUGACACGAUGGAAAAACGCGUUUCCCACCUUUCGGUCUUCCCCUCUGUCCUGCGGUAUAGUUCGCACGUUUCUUUUCCCAGGACGAUUGGAAAAUGCCAUGCCGAGCACUUGCUGUCCCCGGACGUGUCUUUGAGAACGCCGCGUACGAAUCUCACGAAAUCUGAAGGAAGCGAGCUGCUGAGUCACACGCUUCCAAGGUUCCAGGUGAAUUCCUAGUGGAAUUCCGAGGGAUCCUCCUCAGCCUAUGACGGUUUACAUCUUUGAUCUUUUCCCUAAUUAACCAUGCGUCGAAAUCUAGGAAGCCCUAGCUAAAUUCGAAUGUGAUUCCAGGAGAUUCUGAAAGCUUCUCUUUCAUCUGCGGUUCUCCAGGUCUUCCGCCUCUUCGCUAAUUAGGCAAAUUUCUGAUCAGGAUUUAAAUGCAUCCGAGUAGAUCAUUUUACAGCCUGCACGGUGCAGGUCUACAGAGCUUCAGAGAUACCCUGGGCUCUGCUGUGUGCAGGCUCGGCUCUUCCAGUUGUUAGUCAAUUAAGCAAAUCCUAGAUACGAAUCUAGGUGAGUUUGAACGAAUCUUGGAAGUUCUAGCGAGUUUGCAGGGGACUUGAAGAAUCAUCGUUGCAAUGCGCAAGUUCGGUUCUUCGAAACUCUCGUCAAUCAGAUGCGAAUCUAGGGGAACGUCUAGGGGGACCUUACAGGUCCUGAGGUUCUGAGCAGAUUUCAUGGAAUUGCAAGUGUUUGGUCGUAGACCAACGCAACAGUUUUCGUCAGAUUGGACCUAGAUGACUCGAUAGAAGGAUCACGUUUGUAUCCAUCAUUAGCGAUGUUUAUCAUGUAAAUGUAUGAGCUAUGUACAUAAAAUGAAAUCCAAUACCCGCGAACGAAGUGACGUAACACGAACCAAAGAUAUCAUUCGACGUUUAACGAAUCAAUUAACGACAGCGAUCGAAAAGCCAAAUUUCAUCAGUGCCAGCUAAACAAAAUUGCUCCUUGGUCGAGAUGAAAUACCCCGAACUAUAUUUGCCUUCGUCUACCUCGUAUUUCUGCUGAAACUGGUGAUGUUAUUACUUGCUUCGCGAUGUUAUUGUAGGGAUUCAUGCGAAAACGAAGGGAGAGAGAGAGAGAGAGAGACAUCUCGUACUGUUGUAGGAAAACACAGUGAUAAAUUCUCAUUGUUAUUCUAGAUCCUUCUCUUCUGAUUUUUCCUCGAGAGAACUCAAUCUCGCGUAAUCACAUCCUUCAGCUUUGCUAACAAACAAACGAUUUGAUACCGUGUUAAAUUACCUCCAACUGUUUUUUUUUUUUUUUUUUUUUUUUUUUGUUCCUAUCAAAAGUAAUUUCGAACAGGCUGAACAAGUUCAUAUAUACCAGAGAAACGUUCAAAUUUGAUUUUAUCCACCGCGUGUGAAAACAUUUUAUUUUAUAUCCGCGAUAUAUUUUUUUCUAUGUAGAAUGAAACUUCGAUAAAAAUUUAUUACCAGUAUACUAAUUUAAUAUAUUUGAUAUAUACGCUAUAGUAAAAGUCUAUAUUAAUUUUAUCAGAAGUCUUCGCAUCUUUCAACGAUUAUAACAACGAUUACGAUUAUUACAUUUAAAAGAAAACAGGGACUCGUUAUUUUAACGAAUUUGGUAACGCUAGUGUUAAUCACAUAAUCCCGUUUGUUCAACCUAUAUCGAUUUCCAUGUUCCAAGGUACCGUGCACUUAAUCUCCCCAUAUUAACGCUGUCUCUCUCUAAUGAUUAUCAAUGGAAAAUUAUGGCACGUAAUUAUCUAACCUCUACUCAACGAGGAUUCGACGAGGUGUUGGUGAAUAGCCAGAUAACACUGCUAGGGAAUUUAUUGUGCAGUGGGAACGAUCCUGGUGUUAUUAUUUCAGGGCUGUCAAGAGUUUGGUUAUUUUUAUUCACGUUAUUGCGAGACUUAAUGCAGAAAACGAAGCGGUAGAGAUGGCUGCCGGGAUAAGGUUAAGCGCGGCUUUCGUACACACGAAAGGACGAUAGCUUAAUUUCAUCUGAAAACUUCAUCAAACUCCGUCUUGCACAUCGAUGGGCGACCGGUAUUGUCAAUUGGCUGGUGCUUUCUCAUAAUCCCCUAACUAAGAACAUAAUGUCCGUCUAGGGAUAUUCUCGUUUUACGCCAUACGGACCGAUAUUGACAUUCCAGAGUGUACCUUCUAACUUCGUGCUGGUCCAUACGCCACGCUAAACUUGAUACUGUGUUUCGUUCAAUUUUGUCGAAAUCUUAGAAUUUUUACAUGGAAAUUUCCACGAAUCGAAUUUUUUUAUUAUUCUCUAUAAACAAAUAUGCGAUACGAUACUAAAAUCUAUGCGUAUACACAACGAUUAUAUAUAGAUUGCAAACCUAACCUUAAACCUAAUCGAACUUAGCAUUCCAAAAUGUUAAAAACGAUAACUAGCACCGACGUAACAGGUAGAUCCGAAUGUUCGCUGCUAGUAGACGUUCAGAAAUAUCGUUUCCACCAGAUGUAUCUGGUUGUACGUCUUAAUGAUAGGUGGCCACUUUUAUCGGCCUGAUAGUGUUCUCGCGUGGCAGCCAGCUAUUUGUCGCCACGCGGUAGGACACUGGCGUGACCAGGACCAAAAUUCGAGACCGAAGGCACACGAGCGACCAAUAACUCUUACCACCGAUGAAUUUCCCUUUCCAGGCCUUAAACAGCCACGCCCUUGUAUGACUUGUAGCUCGCGCGGAAGCUUUCAUUUUUUUCCCCUCAAUAGUCCAGACAGCGAGCGUGUGCAGUGUCGAUUAGGCCGGUCACGUGACCCUGAGAAUCCAGCCGCGAAAAUCCCCAGCAAAAAUCAUUUUCUCACACGAUCCGGUAUGGUUCUACCGAGUUAUAUUGCCACGGUGUAUUAGGUCUGUCGUAUAUCUUCCAGAAAGAUAUUACGCUAUUACGUUUCGCGCACGUUACGUACCGCGUGUCCUCCUAAAAGCGCGAAUAUCAAGACACGAGGAGAAUCCAUUUUUCUUCUUUACACCCGUGCGAGCUUUUUUGCAACAUCUUUCCUCCAUUUUUCCUCGUUCAUAAGCGAAGUUUCAUCUAACGAGGUUAGGAUGUAUCGGACGACGGAAAUUUAGCUGGUUUUAACGCGACAGAGAUUGGUUUUGCGAACAUAUUAUUAUUCCACUGAAUGAGAUUUGUUUAUUGGAAUUUCUAUUGGCUACAGUUUGCGUCUAAGCACACGGUACGGUUAAUUAUACCGUUGAGUUUAUUUAUUCUGUGCAAGUUUAGAUUUCAAUUAGGUUAGGUCAGAGUUGGUUCGAAUUACAUUUGAACAUGGAUAGGUUAUGUUUGAAUCGUAGAUUGUAUUUGGAUUGCAAAUUAAGAAUAAUUUUCCAAAUGAUUGGUAAAACUGUUAGCUAAAAAAGUACAGCGAAAAAAGCAACCUUCGUGUUACGAAAGCGUUAUGAUCGAACUAUACAUAACAGAUAUAAAAAGGUGUAAGAAAGAAACUAGAAGAGUUCCCUAAGUAGUGCUGAUACCCUAAAGCAAAAUUUAACCUGCACUUGAAUCUUUGUCUGUUUGAUCAAUGCACCGGUAAAGUGGAAUGCAUUGAUUUAUUUGGUUCGACAAAUUUAGGACACCCUGUGCAUGGCUGGCUUCGCGCUUAUCAUCGCGUUUCUCUUCUAUAUUUCCCGAACAUUUACUUUCAAUGCUUCCGCUACUUAUCGGAAAAUAUUACGCGACAAAAGGUGAACGCGCAGAUCGACUCUUUAUCCCUUCAUUUCUUCCGCGUCGCAGUCUCUAUCGAGCUUGUUUCGUCUUGUUUUCAACGUUAUGGCCCGUUCACACCGACUCCACCUAUCUACUUUUUGCUUAUUUUUAUCCUAUUGCUCCUACGCCUCAUUCGUGCCAAUAAAAUUACUUCCUACUAUAUAGGUUGUCUCAGUCGGUAAGUGGGUGAUUCUACGUGGAACAGAAGAUCUAAAAUAUAUUACAGUCGAACAUCGAUGUGUCGAACCUCAAAGGAAGAGCUAAAAUCUUCGAGUUACACAAGUUUCUAUUCGUCGAACAAAAAUUCGACGUACAGAAGCUUUUUACGAAAGCAAUUACGUUCACCUUUUCAGAUGGUGUUAGCAUUUUAAGCUUCCUCUUACAACUCAUUUCAUUCAACGUACAUAAACGCAAAAGUUAAAGACGCGACAGCCGAUGGCAAUUAUGCGUUCGACCGAAGAAUAACGAUUAGCUUUCAUGGAUAUGUAUGUGGUCGUCGUGGCCGAGGGGCGAAGAGGAAGCAAUACGGCUUGCAUCGUCUCACGUUACUCGAGAUAAUCCUAAAAGUUGGAAGAGAAGAGACGAUAUCGAAAGAUUGGUUUACACAUAAUGUAGCUAUAGCUACACCUCGACCUGCAGAGGUUGCAGCGAUAGAAGUUCGACUUAUAGAAGUAAACUUCGAUCUGUCGAGGUCUGGCUAUUCUAAAUUCCAGUUACGAGGUAAAAUAAUGCAUUUGAACACGUGGCGAAUAAUUCGAGUUAAGGUAAGUUUUACUUUGACUUUCAGAGGUUUUCGACUUACAGAGAUACGAGCUAUCGAGGUUCGACCGUACGACAGUUUCCUCGAAACAAUGUCUCUGCUUUACUUUUAAAAAGUUCGGUUAUUUUUGAGACAGAGCGCGUACUUCCGUGGUAAACAAAAUUUCUAUAUUUCUGGAUUAUGUGGCAUUCCUUCGCGUUGCCUAAUACAGAUGUCUCUGUUUGCAAAAAAAUCGAAUUCGAAAAUCCGUCUACUACGUGUGAACUUGGCUAUACCAUCACGAAAUAUACUACAUGGGCCACUGUUCACCUGAUCAGCCAACAUGAACGAUUACACGCAUCAAAAUAAAAUUGCAAUACGUUAACGCGUGAUUGCCGAAAGCUUCGCGGCAUCGACGUGCAUAGCGCGGCAUUCUGCGUUCCGUUCGGCGAUUCCGGCUCGCGGACGAUGAAAAACGUUCGGUGCAUUCGCGGUACGUCAGAAAGAGCCGGCUGAUUCGUGGAACUGGCGGAGGCGCAAUGGCAGUGGAGGGGUGUAGGAGCGGUUCCGGUCGGAGUGGGGAGGGAAGAAACGGAGAAUGUCAAGGAGAGGGGGAGGGGUAUGUUGCAAUCGUGACAAAGAAGGAAGAUAUUUCUAUAGGUUUCAAUGGUCGUGAAAAAAUGGGGGGAACGUUCGAGACGGAGAGCGAAUCUCUCGCUUGGCCAGGUAUUUCGAUAUAUGUAGAAAACCAGACAAAAAGGCGGAACGUAUUUAAAAAGCGAACGUUGGGCCGCGCUCGUGCUCACCGCUCCGGGAUAAAUCGUUCCCGAGGACAAAGGAACGUUCACUGGCGAUACACGCGUUCCCCCAAUGACAAUAAUCGCUCUCGUUCCGUGUACACGGUAGUCCCUCUAAUGAGCGGUAAUCGCAUCGCCGGAAAAACAAUGCUAUGCGGUUUGUAGGUUAGACGAGCGCGCGCCUGGUUUUAGUGGCUUUCAACGAGGCUGCGGGCUUUUUCCUCCUCGUUUCCCACUGACGAACUUCUUCGCACGAUAUUUCUUGAAAACGCCAUGUUCUAUCGACUCCCUAUAUAGGAUGAUUCAAGAAUGGUGCUAUUCAUAUUUAGGUUAUGGCAGUUUCUAACGCGGGUACGAAGGCUUUUGUGAUUUCUAAUAGAUAUUUUUGCUACAGAUUUAUCAGAAUUUGGCACUCGUUCGAUUAUCUAUACGUGGUUUCAGAAGUGGAUUUAUUUGAAUUUGGUUAUGGGAGUCCUCGGGGCUUUUAUAGUUAGUUGCACGACAUUUUUGAAAAUACAAUAUUGUAAUGACUCUCGUAGUUGUAUCCGUAAAUGGAUUUAUUUAAAGUUAGCUUACGAGGCUAGUUUUGUGUCUUUUAAUGCGGCUCUAAAUUCUUGUAUGACCUGUAACGAGGAUUUUUGUCCGAUGUUUUUAGAAACUCAAUAUUAAUGACUAUAUCUUGAACCACGGACGCUUUUUACUUGCAUUUAGGUUAUGGUAGACCCUUCAAUAGGGUAACGUGUUCAUUUAUAACCUCCAACGAAGAAUUUUGCACGAUAUUGCAGUCACACUGUUCGACCUCAUCCCUACAAGGUCUAAUACAAAAAUAGACUUCUUUGAAUUUAGGUUAUGUAAGUCCUACAACAUCAUCCUACUCGGCUGCUUUUUAAUUCUGCACGACAUGCCUCAGUACCGCGCUCUAUAUCGAAAACGUGACUAUGUCAGGUGAUAUCGAGACGAUUGCACGGGAACGUAGACAAAUUUCGCUUCUCUACCACGAAUGCAAUUUGCGCCGACAACUGAUCCCACGUAGUCCCAAUUGUUUCGAGCGGCGUACAUAAUUCAUUCGACAAUGGCCGCAAAAUGGUGUCACUUCGUCGAUGACGGAGUUAUUGUUCAUGUGAGAUAAUAGUAGGGAAAAUAACGACUACGCGAAAGUCGUUGAAAAACACGCGUCUGAUUCAGAAGAGAACACGAAAAACAAAUUGGGGAGGGGGGGGGGCAGGAGAGAGAACGCUUUAACCUAUAGACUGUUGCUGCUAAGUAUCCGGACACUUUGGUCAACUUAUUAUAAACACAGUGUAUGAAUUUGACCAAUAACUCUAGUCAGGAAUGGACUUUAGGUUAUGGCAGCGGUAUCGUGGCUUUCAACAAAGCUACAAAUUCUUUUGCAAUUUAUAGCGACGAAGAUGAUGAAGAUUUUUGCUGGAUGUUUUUGAAAAUCCAAUUGUUUCUAUCUAAUCGAUUCAUCAUACCUUGAUUCGCGGUAUGUGGUCUUACCCGAAUUUAGGUUAGGUUGUACAAAUUGAUGAUCAGCCGUGAUAAACAGCUGUAAGUGACUAUAAAGAAUAAAAUCAUUUUUAAUUUCGUAAUUAAAAAUAAACAAGCGCCCGGAUAUUUUUUGUGUGGUGGAACAUGUAUGUGUUUGCUAUUCCCGUAGGAGGAUAAACAUUUUGCGUGCGCAUGCGCACACACGCGACGUUGUAUAUUAGCAUUAUUCUCCGCGUAAUGUAAAAUAUUAAAUUAAAAACAGACAAAUUUUCCGGCUGUUUGCCAGCUGUGCUCGCGAUGAGAGACUCUUGAUUUAUUUAACACCGGCUCCCCACGUACGUCGCUGUUACCUGACAGAGAAAAAAGCAAGCUAGAUAUCACAGGUAAUAUGUUUUACAAUAAUACGUAAACGACACGCGACGUUAUCGCGACCGGCAAUGAUGAUGCAUCGCGGCUAUAUACUUCUUCUCAUUAACGUUAAAACGGACGUUUAUUUUACAUCCCUGGAUCUCGUUCUAGCGUAAAUAUUUACUGGCUUGCGGAACACUCUGGUCAGGAAGCGGCCAUUUUCCAACUUGAUCAAAUUUUUAAAUCUAAACAACCUUCUUUUGUUUCUUUUAUGCUUUAUGCUUAUUUCGAAAAAAUAUUUCCCUAGGGAAGUUUCUUGCUAUCUAGUGUUUUUAUUUAAAAUGUAAAUAAAGUAUUUUUAACUAGAAUUUUUCUCCUAGCCACCUCGGUGUUUCAAAAAGAAGAAAGAAUAAUUUCCAACUACAAUAUAAACGCUAUACUUCAGUCUUCUUUUUGUUUUCAAAUCCUUUGUUUUGAAAGAAUAUAUUUUUGCAAAAAAAAAUAAUAAAAAAAAGUUUCUCUCCGAAAUGCGGAUAAAAAAAUUUUCGAAAAAUAACUAGAAUCCUUUUGCAGCCAUUUAAAGAGGACAAAAGAAUGAUUUCCAAGUCUAAACACCAUUCGCUUAUUCCCCCCUUUACAUCAAAGUCCUUUGUUUAAAGAGAAUACACUUUUUCGUAAUAAAGGUAAAUUGAGGAUAAAAAAUUUCUAAAAAAAAAAAAAAAAAAAAAAAAAUA